rnacentral:rRNA from 1 species
CCCUUAGAUGUUCGGGGCCGCACGCGCGCUACACUGAAGGACUCAGCGUGCUCGUUGUCCUGGUCUGGAAAGACUGGGUAACCCGAUGAACCUCCUUCGUGCUAGGGAUUGGGGCUUGCAAUUCUUGCCCAUGAACGAGGAAUUCCCAGUAAGCGCGAGUCAUCAGCUCGUGUUGAUUACGUCCCUGCCCUUUGUACACACCGCCCGUCGCUACUACCGAUUGAAUGGUCCGGUGAAGCGUUCGGACCGUGGCCUUUGGACGGUUCGCCGUCUGUUGGCUGCGGGAAGUUCGUUAAACCUUAUCAUUUAGAGGAAGGAGAAGUCGUAACA